rnacentral:rRNA from 1 species
AUUGAACGCUGGCGGCAGGCCUAACACAUGCAAGUCGAGCGAGCGGCGGACGGGUGAGUAAUGUAUGGGGAUCUGCUCGAUAGAGGGGGAUAACUACUGGAAAAGGUGGCUAAUACCGCAUACUCUCGGAUGACCCUAUAUGGGAUUAGCUAGUAGGUGGGGUAAAGGCGCAUCUAGGCGACGACCUCUAGCUGGUCUGAGAGGAUGAUCAGCCACACUGGGACUGAGACACGGCCCAGACUCCUACGGGAGGCAGCAGUGGGGAAUAUUGCACAAUGGGCGCAAGCCUGAUGCAGCCAUGCCGCGUGUAUGAAGAAGGCCUUAGGGUUGUAAAGUACUGUCAGCGGGGAGGCGUUACCCGCAGAAGAAGCACCGGCUAACUCCGUGCCAGCAGCCGCGGUAAUUC